AGCCCCGCUGUCAGUCAUCACACCUCAAACCAAUAGUGCAGCUUUGUUCAGCGGGCUCGCCCCCUACUCCCCGCCCCCCUCCUUGAGCUGUCCUCGCCGUGCACGCGCGUGGUCCCCCCCAGGUCGCGAGGAGGAGGAGGAGGAGGAGGGAUGAGGCGCGCGGAGGGGAAAUGGCUGCCGAAAACAAGCCGGAAGGGUUGAAGAGGAUAAGGAAUCCAGAACGGAUGAUCAGAAUUGCCGUGGGAUACACAGGACACGCCCCUCCUAAGAGUGAUGACAAUGACACCAACGAUGAGCAUGGCCAGUUGAAGAUCUACCUUCCUAAGAAACUGUUGGAGUGUUUGCCCAAAUGUUCCUCUCUACCCAAGGAGCGCCACCGCUGGAACACCAACGAGGAGAUAGCGGCGUAUCUGAUCACAUUUGAGAAACAUGAAGAAUGGCUGACAACAUCACCCAAGACCAGGCCUCAGAAUGGCUCCAUGAUCCUCUACAACAGGAAGAAGGUGAAGUACAGGAAGGAUGGAUACUGUUGGAAGAAGAGGAAGGAUGGCAAGACCACCAGGGAGGACCACAUGAAGCUUAAAGUCCAGGGAGUGGAGUGUCUGUAUGGCUGUUAUGUCCACUCCUCAAUCAUCCCUACCUUCCAUCGCAGAUGCUAUUGGCUGCUCCAGAACCCAGACAUAGUAUUGGUCCACUACCUCAACGUGCCGGCAGUGGAUGACAGUGGGAAGCCGUGCGGACCGGUCCUUUGCUCCAUCAACACAGACAGGAAGGAGUGGGCCAAGUGGAGCAAGGAGGAGCUUAUUGGACAGCUCAAACCCAUGUGUGCCGGGAGUAGCCUGCACCAGAAAUGCUCCACAGCCAAACAUCGUAUCAUCUCCCCCAAAGUAGAAGCAAAGACAGGAGCAGGGCCGGGGCCGGGGGCGGGGUCAGGGCCGGGGGCGGGGUCAGAAGUGCAGAACAGUGAUGUGUCUGAGGGGCAGACAGAGCCCAAUCCUGGAUCGGGAGUUAGGAGCAGAGGAGGAGGGGAGAAAAAGAAUGGCAGGCUGCCCAAACCCACUCUGCUUCCCCAGAGCAGUAUGGAAGUCUCCUCCACAUCCACAAAUCAGGUGGAGGUUCCUGACACCACACAGAGUUCCCCACUGUCAAUCACCAGUGACAUGACUGCUGAUAGUCCUGCCCUCAGCCUGGCCAGCAGCCUAUCACAAAGCUCUGCUGCUGUGUUUAUGUCUGAGGUUGCCACGGUAACGGGGGAUUCGGUGUACACCGCUGAACACGCCCACCUGAUUGGCUCUACACAUGACGCCACCAGCGCUGGGAUUCUAUUGGCUGUUGCACCGGACACCCAGCGCUUUGCGUUCCCUGGGAGGGUGGGUUUAAGAGAAGAAGGGGGAGAGUUGGUCCUCUCCAGCAGUCUGGACUCAGGAGGUUCUGGAGUCAACCUUCCUGAGACCAGCAUGAACUUUGACCCAGACUGCUUCCUGAACAACCCUAAGCAGGGUCAGACAUAUGGGGGAGGAGGGGGGAAGGCAGAGGGGGACAGCUGUAAAGGUGAUGAAGGUCUGCGCUGCGCUCCACAGUCAAUAACGGCUAACAGCUAUGUCUUCAACGCUGCACUCGUUAACAACAUCAAGACCGAGGACACGCCCCUGGAACAACCUCUGGUCAAUCAGAGUGGGUAUGCAGGAGAGGGGGCGGGCCUGAGCCCAAGCACCGCGCUGGAGCAGAUGGACUUCAGUGCCGUGAUGUCAUCAGCCUGUGCCCAGAGCUUGGCACAGCAGUUACACCCUCACUCCCCCAGUCUGUUCUUGCAGGCUUCACCCCAGACCCCCCUCAUCCAGCCCAGCCUGCCUCAGAUCAGUGCCUCAGAGACAGGCAAAGAUUCAGGGGAGACCCAGGCUUAUCUGGGCCUAUCUACCACACCACAGACUGACAUUACAGGCACCAACGGAGAACCUCACACACACAUCCACCAACCUUCCCCUGACCAACAUGGCAACAGUGAGGGAAUUGGGCAGGGCGGGCUGGUUGGGCUGGGGAGCUUUCCUGUUGGGGGGCAGGAAAUGAACAAAGACCAGCGUAACACUGGGACAUCUGGGAAGGUGAAUAGCCCAGAAAAAGAGCCACAGAAGAGGGCAGAGUUCCUAGUCAAGCCUGGGGAACAGCACAAGGCCUACAAAAACAACACAGGUGUUGGUGGAGGUGGAGAACAAUACCUACAACCACCAACCAGGAGUGGAGGAGGACAGGGAGGACAAGAAACAGGAGGAGAGAAUGACCUAUUCUGUAACGGGGUCAGGGAUGCAGGAGUUAACAGUUCAGUGGUGGAUAGUCCUCGGUCUCUGGCCGGAGCAGCCAUGGAGGGGGGGCUGUACAGCUCUACUCUCCCCCAGCCGGUUGUGGGGGAGGCUGGGGGAGCUGAGGGGACAGGAGGGGGAAUCAGCCUGGAAGGCUUUGAGGCAUCGUUCGGGAACCAGUUCUCUGAUCUCAUUAAUGACUUCAUCUCGGUGGAGAGCGGCGGAGGGGGGGCUGAGGUGGGGACAGGGGGCAGUGCACUCUACACCCCUGCUCUGAUGCCCCAGGAGGGGGUUGGAGAGGGCCGGGGGGCAGGAGCAGCCCCCAUUCAGGGUUCAGAAGUGGAGCAGGGAGCUCUGGCGUUGCUGCCAGAGGCAGGGAGGCUGUUUGGAGUGACUGACUACUCCCCAGAAUGGUCUUUCCCAGAGGGUGGGGUAAAGGUUUUGAUAACAGGUCCGUGGCUGGAGACUGGUAGUGAGUACAACUGUCUGUUUGACCACAUCAGUGUCCCAGCUGCUCUCAUACAGCCAGGAGUACUGCGCUGCUAUUGCCCAGCCCAUGACACAGGUCUGGUGAUGCUUCAAGUGGCUCUGGGUGGAGAUGUUAUCUCCUCCUCUGUGGUGUUUGAGUAUAAGGCUCGAGACCUGCCAGCCCUGCCCUCCUCACAACACGACUGGUUAUCCCUGGAUGAUACCCAGUUCAGGAUGUCCAUUCUGGAGCGUCUGGAGCAGAUGGAACAGAGGAUGGCUGAGAUAACCAAUCACCAUCAGACCUCUGAAAGCUCAUCCACCACGGGCGGAGGAGGUCUAACUGACCACCAGGCCCAGCUCUCCCCAGCCGAGGGUUCGUUCGAAGGCCGCGUGGUGGUGGUGUGCGAGAAGAUGAUGACCCGCCCCUGCUGGGUUUCCUCCAAUCAGCUGAUCCACAGCCGGAGCUCCCGGGGCAUGACCCUGUUGCACCUGGCCGCGGCCCAGGGCUACGCGGGGUUAAUACAGACACUCAUCCGCUGGCGCACCAAACAUGCAGACAGCAUAGAUCUGGAGUUAGAAGUGGACCCUCUCAAUGUGGACCACUUCUCCUGCACCCCCCUGAUGUGGGCCUGUGCUCUGGGUCACACAGAAGCCGCUCUGGUUCUGUACCAGUGGGACCCCAGAGCGUUGGCCAUCCCGGACUCGUUGGGCCGCCUGCCACUCAGUAUUGCACGCUCACGGGGACACACUCAGUUGGCCGAGCUCCUGGAGCAGCUGCAGCAGGCUCCUCCUACUCAGGAUCCGCCCACCUUCACCUGGAUGGACAGAUGGAGCCGCGAAUCAGAGCCCAGUCCACAGCGUGAUAGCGUCGCCCCCACCUCUACCCCAGACUUGAGGAGAACCAGGACAGAACCCCAGCAGAGCACCCAGGACCAGGGUCAGGUUCAGACCUGGGCUCACCAGGGCCAAACCCAGCUGCAGCGCCAACACAGGAGCCCACAGGAUAACCAGGAAGAGACUCCACCAGCCAAGAGACUCAGGCUCAGCCUGAAGGCCCAGCCAUGGCCAGACAACUCCCCAAAGCCCCCUCACACGUCAUCUCAUCCCCCGAAACCCACACGCUCUGAGUUGCCCAACCUCAGCCCCCUCAACACUGUUAAAAGCAGCUCCGACUCCCCAAACCCCCACACCCCCAACCCCCCUCUCUCCCACCUGCAGGCCAGGUUAGGGGGGUCAGGGGGUGGCAGCAGGUAUAGCUUGCGGCAGGCUCUUGGGAGGCGGAGUUUAGCCAGGAGGAUCCUGGGAAAGGAGAGACUGUCCCAUCGUCUGCAUCAAAGGGGCGUAUCCACCAGGGGGGAGGAGGCAGAAUUGCUGACCUUCCAGGAGGACAGUGAAGACCUACAGAUGAACAUGAUGACACUGGCAGAACAGAUCAUGGAGGCCACUCCUGACAGGAUCAAACAGGAAGGAUUUGUCGCCAAGGAGACUCAGACGUUACCCCCAGAGUCAGUUGGGGUCAGCGGUGAUGUCAGCUGGUUGGCUAGUUACAUUAGUGAUGUGGAGCGGUUCCUGUACUCCAGGCACCAGCUUCCCAGCCCAAGCCCCAUACCAAGCCCAGUCUCUGGGCCCGAGGAUCAGGAAAGUCCCCUGGCUCCGCAAGGCCUACCCUCGCCAGCCGAUUGGAGCUCCUUCCUGCAUGCAUCUUUCAGAGGGGAUUGCCCAGACCCCAACCCCGCCCACCUCAGUUUGACAGAGGCAGAGCAAAGAGAACUGUAUGAGGCUGCAAGACACGCCCACAACACCCUCAGAAAGUACAAGGGCCGGCCAAUCCAGGAGCAACGUAAAGAGACAGUAGCAGUGGUCCAGCGCUGCUAUAAGAAAUACAAACAGCUGUCAUGGAUAGCCUUGAAGUAUGCACUUUAUAAGAGGAUGACGCUGGCAGCCAUCCUGAUACAGAGCCGCUUCCGCAGUUUUCAUGAACAGAGGAAGUUCCAACAGAGCCGCAGAGCAGCAGUCCUGAUCCAGCAGCACUACCGCAACUACAGACACUCCCUAAGCAGUCUUCUGACUAAGAGACAGAACCAGGCUGCCCGCAAGAUCCUGAGGUUCCUGCUCCGAUGCCGCCACAGCCCCUUGAUGGACCAUAGACCACUCAAACGGGGCAAGAGAGCAGAGAAAGGCCAGGGGUCCUGAGAGCUCACCAGCCAGCCCAACACAGAGCCGCCUCACCCUGUGAGCUCAUCUACACCCAUCUCUUCCCUGUCCGAUCCCUGCCUCCCUCUGCCUCACACGGGGGCAACUCCCUUCUCCCUCUCCUCAGACAGUUCUCACAGUGGGGUUACUUCCCAGUCUACACUCCUGCCUCCCUCUGCCUCACAUGGGGGCAACUCCCUUCUCCGUCUCCUCAGACAGUUCUCACAGUGGGGUUACUUCCCAGUCUACACUCCUGCCUCCCGGUCUCCCACCGCUCUUCAGACAGAGAAACACUUCCCAAACAGACACGUAACACUCAGACGGGAGGACCAGGUCUACAUGGCAACUAUAUCACAACACAGGGACAACCCUUCUCCUCCUCGCCUCCCAAACAGACAGGGACACAUGGCAACUGUAUCUAGGAGGCUGCUCUGAUGAACACAUGGACCUGUCUGGUCAGAGUAUGGCUUUCCUUUCACCUUCCUCACAGGGAGAAACUACAUCCCCUCACGGCAUCUUUGCACUCGUUACGGAUCAAUGCUUUUUCAAAAAAGAGAAAAGGAAACGGACGCACUUGAAGACAGGCCCUGUUCAGUCGUUGAUCGCGUUCAACACAGUGAAUAGGACGCUUGGUUUUCUGAUGGGUAACAAUGGCAUUGACGUGCAUUAUCUAAAUGGGACCUGCUGUAUUUUCUAUUUUAAAUGAUCAAUUUUAGGAAAGGAAAUCAUAAACCAAAUAUCACUCCUGUGUCCUGUAUGCAUGCACUGUUUUCUGCUAACUCUUGUUCUUUCAUGGCUUUUAUGGCAGUUGGCAAGUCAAUGUGACAUCACACUUUGAUUGGCUGGCGAGACGUGUCAACCAAUCACCCAAAAAGGACUACACUUGAAUGUAAGAAAAACAUUAAUAGAUUGGGUCUUAAUAACAAUGUCUUAAUUUGUAACUUUGACUAUGAAGUCAUUUUCUGAGGCAGCAUUUUGCUAGCCAGAUGUGUGGGUCUGCUUCUUGAAUCUAUUGCAUGUGUUUGAGCUGUAAGCUCCUGCAUGCUAACCAAACUGCUUAAGUGUUGUUUCUUUAGUCUUUAUGUGUAGUGGUGUUUCUCUUCUGUCCUCAUCAACCCGUCUCUACCCCGUGUUUAUAAUGUGCUCAAUGUAAGGAAAGUAUCCUGGGUUCUCUGUGCGUUUAUGUAUCAGGCCAUACUAAGUUGAUUUACUGUAAAAACGAAUGCCCCUCUUCACAAACAAGUGGCAACCAUAACAUUAUUAUUUUUUUAAAUACUUAAAAAAACAUUUUCAACAGUUCGUUAAGUUUGUAUGGCCUUAUCUAUAUAUUUUCUAAUUGUAUUCAAGUUUUUUUUAUUGUUUUACCGUAAGUUAAUUCACAGAAAGACAAUAGCAUUUUGGUGCGAGUCAUUUAAGACCCCUACUGUGUGGUGAUGUGUGACAGUUCAGAUGGUAACUGUCUCUGUCAAUUUGUUCUUAAUGUGAACUUCAGAACGCUGCAUUUGGUUUUGACGAGAGUGUCACAAUGCAUUGCCUUGACUUCUUAUUGACUUUGAGAAGUCCCCACGCUAUAUGUUAUCCCAUCUAGGACAGUGGUCCCUAUAUUAGCCCUUACAGAGGGAAGCCCAACCCAUAUUUUUGACUAUUGAGCAUCUCUGUACAUAAAAUGACGAGGUAUGGGUAUAUAUGGAGACCCUGGAUCUUUUUCAUACGAAAAUACUGUAUUUAAGAUUCUAUAUUAUUUUACUUCUAUACCAAUAACAUGAACAGAUAGACACCCAGUAUACAAGACAGUUGUAUUGUUUGUAAAUAAUGUAAAUACUAACCAUGGAUCGAUGUGCAUGAGAACUAAGACAAACAGGGCAAACAAAACAAUAUCAACAUUUUUGUGGCUAUGAACUGUAAGAGAUUUUAACUAUUACACUUUACCAGUGUUUGAUAUAAGUGUAAUUCAAAAGAACAUUUUGCUAAAGCAUGAUAUUGAUUACAUUUUAUGUUUAAGAAAAAAAUAUAAAGAACUAGGCAGAAAACAAGUUAUCUUUCAAACAAAAUGCAUACAAGUCAUGCUUUUGAUUUUGAGCUACCAUGAAUUGAAAUAUGUUGCCUGUGAUACAAAUGAUUAUGAAUGCUGCUUUGCCUAUCAGGACAAACACGGGUGUGGACCCAAGGACGAGGGCCAGGAAUUUUUCCUGACCGUGUAGUGAAAAAACCCCUGAUUUAGAAGGUGAAAUAAGUAUUCAAUAUGAACAGACAUCUCCAGUGACUGGAGGCUGGGAAAGCAAGAAAUUCAUAACCUCUUCUUCUAAAGUAUACAGAGAAUGAUUUCAUUUCAGCUGUGAUGAAUGUUGCUGUUUGUGUUCCAGCAGUCCUGUGGCUCAGUUGGUACGAGUGGUGUCGGCAAUGCCAAGGUUGGGAGAUGAUUUCCUGCAGAGAUCAUACGCCUACUAAACGUGUAUGUCCUCACAGUUAUUUGCUUUCGAUACAAAUAUACAUUAUUGUAUGUGACAGUACUCUUAACAAUUCAUUGUUCUCACCUAAAAUUCCCUGGAACAAAUUCCCGUUACUCCUAUUCGUUUUUUCACUGGAUUGAUAGAAUUGCUUUGAGUGAAUACGGCCUGUUUUGUUUAGGAAGUGCCUACCUGUAUACAGAACGUGCAUGCAAAUUAUCAGGAACAUUGUUACAUAUUGGAUAAAGCAGAAACGUUGAUUCUCUGAGCAGAAAUGGAUGUGCUCCUACUCCCAGGACCACACCAGAUUCCUGUGACUUAUUACAUAUUGUAUAUACCUGAUUUCAUUGCUGUGCAAAGGUUUUCAAACCCCUGACCAAUUCUCAAAUGUUAUUGAAUUAUAAAUGGAACAUUUGUUAAUUGUUAUUUUAUUUUAAAACACUAACAUGGAGAAUCAAUUACUGUAAGGUGACAUUGGUUUUAUAUUGGGAAAUAUUUGUGAGAAAUAAAUAAAAUAUGUUGCUUUGCAUAAAUAUUCAACUCGUAUGCUGUGGAAGCUCCCAGUUUACCAUUGGCUUCCACUUGUGAGUAUUUACAGUUGCUAUCACAUUUUCUGGAUCAAUACCCACUGUUGAAGGAUCACUGGUCAGGAUGUGAAUGUAAAGGAAAGUUAAGACAAUAGAUACAUUAGACAAGUACACAGGCGUAGAUUAGGAAAUGACAUCCAAGAGUUUGGAUAUUUCAGUGAGCAUUAAUAAUCAGUAAGUGGAAGCUGCAGCACACCACCAGGGCACUGCCAAGAAAAGGCUGUACCCCAAAACUCAGUGCUUGAACAAGAAGGAGACUGCAAAAAGCCACAGAAAGGCUAACAAUAACUUUGAGGGAGCUACAGUGUUCAGAGGCUGGGGGUGGGGUAAUGGUGCACCAGUCACCCCACCCCAGCUCUGGAUAAGUCGAAAAGUACUAUGGAAACCAUGUGAAUGACCCAGCUGCGAUGUAAGAAAAGGUGGGGUCAUCUUGUUGUCAGAUGAGACCAAUAUUGAGAUUGUUGGCUAAACCCCAAUAGCUAUGUGUUCCCAUGCAACAGGACAAGACAUCCCUAAAAUAAAGUAUGUUGGUGGCAGAGCCAUGCAAAUGGUGAUGUUUCUCUUUAGUAGGGAUUGGGGACCUUGGUAAAUUUGAGGAAAUAAUGAAUGAGGAAAAAUACACUGAAAUAUGCAGGAGUACUUGCUUCAGUCUUUCAUGAAGAAACAUUGUGGAACAAAUAAGUGAAUAUCCUACAGUGGCCCGAGUCCUGAUCUCAAUCCCAUUGAAAAGCUUUGGCAAUAUUUGAUGAUUGCAGCCCAGAAGCAUCAUCCAAUCAACCUCGACCAAAAUCUACCAAGAACAAUGGGCAAAAAUCAGUCUGACAGUUUACAAAGCUGGUUCAUACUUAACAAAAGACCUAAAGUUGUCUACUAAAUUUAAAUGUGUAGGGUUGAAUACUUAUGUAUGCAACAUAUUACCAAAUGUUAUCAUUCCCAACAUAAAACCAAUGUUGCCUUACAAUUGAUUUUAAAUGUCAGUGUUUUAAAAAAGAAAAUUAGCAAAAUGUCAAUGUAUUAAUUGUAAUUCAGCAAUAUGAGAGAAUUGAUCAAGGGUUUUAAUAUAUUGGAAGGCACUAUAUAUAAAAAACUUUUUUUUUCACUCACUGGCAACUUUAUUACCUGUUACUAGAUAGAUUGUACAUCUUUCAAGUAUCAAGUAGGACCCCCUUUUGCCUACAUCUGCUUCAAGGAUCAACAUAACCUAUUGACCAAGUCUGCAUUCUUAGUAAAUUGAGUUGCAGCCUGUUUUGCUAUUUGCGCUACAAAUAGCCAAAACAGGCUGUGUACCUAAUAAAGUGGCCAUUGAGUUAAACAUUAAACCCAUUAUGCUGUUCUGAUAUUCCCCAUACAGUGAUUAAUAUCUGAGACACAUGGACAUUGUGUGAAUCCUCAUUGCUUUGGAAUGGCGUAGAGCAAAACCCUCAGUCUGGAACUUAACUGUUGUAUGGUUGAUGUCAAGACAUUAUAUUUCACUUCGUUUCAUCUGUCCUGACACUGAUGUUCCUCCAAUGUGAUUAUGUAAAAAUAUAUGUUAGCAUCAGCAAACAACAUAGACAGACAUGCAAACACAACGUACUGUGUCAUUUCAUUAAAAACACACAUACACACGUACACACAUCACACCGCCGAUACGCACCCACCACCCAAUUGUUUUUUUAGACAGAGCAAUGCUAACUCUCCCAGAUUUAAACUCAGGGCUUUAGAAUGGGAAAGGGGCAUGGAGACGACACUGUGUGUGUGUGGGUGUGUGUGUGUGCUGAUUAGUGAAUAUAUCUUAGGCCAUAUCAUACUUACUCUAUUAUAACAUGACAGUAACCACCCAGAGAUGAUGCAGACAGAGGAGUUGUUCAUCACCACACAGAGAUGAUGCAGACAGAGGAGUUGUUCAUCACCACACAGAGAUGAUGCAGACAGAGGAGUUGUUCAUCACCACACAGAGAUGAUGCAGACAGAGGCGUUGUUCAUCACCACACAGAGAUGAUGCAGACAGAGAUCAUGUUCAUCACCACACAGAGAUGAUGCAGACAGAGAUGCUGUUCAUCACCACACAGAGAUGAUGCAGACAGAGGCGUUGUUCAUCACCACACAGAGAUGAUGCAGACAGAGAUGCUGUUCAUCACCACACAGAGAUGAUGCAGACAGAGGCAUUGUUCAUCACCACACAGAGAUGAUGCAGACAGAGGCAUUGUUCAUCACCACACAGAGAUGAUGCAGACAGAGAUGCUGCUCAUGACCACACAGAGAUGAUGCAGACAGAGGCAUUGUUCAUCACCACACAGAGAUGAUGCAGACAGAGGCGAUGUUCAUCACCACACAGAGAUGAUGCAGACAGAGAAGCUGUUCAUCACCACACAGAGAUGAUGCAGACAGAGGCAUUGUUCAUCACCAC